rnacentral:rRNA from 1 species
UACGUAGGGGGCUAGCGUUGUCCGGAAUCAUUGGGCGUAAAGAGCGCGUAGGCGGCUAGAUAAGUCCGGUGUGAAAGUCACAGGCUCAACCUGUGAAUGCCGCUGGAAACUGUCUGGCUAGAGUCCGGAAGGGGCGAGUGGAAUUCCUGGUGUAGCGGUGAAAUGCGCAGAUAUCAGGAGGAACACCAAUGGCGAAGGCAGCUCGCUGGGACGGUACUGACGCUGAGGCGCGAAAGCAUGGGGAGCGAACAGG